AGCUUUGUGCAGUGGCAGUAUCAUAGGCCAAUGAGGUUUAUCUGAGGUGUGAUUAUUGCUAAUUGAAAAGGAUUCAUCCAACUUAGAGAGGUUCCCACUGGCCACAUAUGAGACAAUAUGAGUAUCAAUGAUGCUAAUAAACCAUUUUGUUGUUUUAAAAACCAAUUAAA
rnacentral:snRNA from 1 species